CGGGCUGUCGUAUACCGGUAGUACGUCUGUUUUGGGAACAGAUAGACUGGGUUCGAUUCCCAGCAGCCCGA
rnacentral:tRNA from 7 species